ACUGCAGUUUUCUCCAGUAAUUAACAGUGGAAAGAAGGCUGGGCCAAGAGUCAGGAGAGACCUGGGUUUGAAUCCUACCACGGACACUUCACUGUGUGACCCUGGGCCAGUCAAGCAACCUAGCUGUAUCUCCUGACCAACCUUUGCUGGAAGCAUCAUCCAGGUUCAGCUCAUCCUGCUCAAGGUAAAGAAGCUAGCCUUUGAACUUGGAUUUGUGUCUUCCAGACUAGGAGCCAUUAACCUACAGCUGGUAGCAAACAGCAGGAACCAUCCAAUGUCCUCUUGUCCUUCCUUGGAUGCAGCCUGUGCUCUGUUCCAGUCAACUUCUUUGGGACCUCCUCAAGGCAUGGACAGCUCUACACUCCUUGCCAGCAGGAAGCAGUUUCAGAAGCCACACUUUGCCCCUUACCCCAAAAGAAUUUCAGUCCCAUUCCU